UACAGAGGAGGCAAGCGUUAUUCGGAAUUAUUGGGCGUAAAGGGCGCGUAGGCGGCUUGGCAAGUGGAUGGUGAAAUCCCUCGGCUUAACCGAGGAACUGCCAUCCAGACUGCUUUGCUUGAGGCCGGGAGAGGUGAGUGGAAUUCCCAGUGUAGCGGUGAAAUGCGUAGAUAUUGGGAGGAACACCAGUGGCGAAGGCGGCUCACUGGACCGGUUCUGACGCUGAUGCGCGAAAGCGUGGGGAGCAAACGGG
rnacentral:rRNA from 1 species